UACGAAGGGGGCUAGCGUUGCUCGGAAUCACUGGGCGUAAAGCGCACGUAGGCGGAUUGUUAAGUCAGGGGUGAAAUCCUGGGGCUCAACUCCAGAACUGCCUUUGAUACUGGCGAUCUUGAGUCCGGGAGAGGUGAGUGGAACUCCGAGUGUAGAGGUGAAAUUCGUAGAUAUUCGGAAGAACACCAGUGGCGAAGGCGGCUCACUGGGCCGGUACUGACGCUGAUGUGCGAAAGCGUGGGGAGCAAACAGG
rnacentral:rRNA from 1 species